rnacentral:rRNA from 1 species
GACGAACCGUGCGAACGUUAUUCGGAAUCACUGGGCUUAAAGGGCGCGUAGGCGGGUUGCCAAGUCUGUGGUGAAAUCCUCCAGCUUAACUGGAGAACGGCCGUGGAUACUGGCGACCUCGAGGGGGGUAGGGGCUUGCGGAACUGUGCGUGGAGCGGUGAAAUGCGUUGAUAUGCACAGGAACUCCGGUGGCGAAGGCGGCGAGCUGGACCCUUUCUGACGCUAAGGCGCGAAAGCCAGGGGAGCGAACGGG